AGUCGACGAUGAAUCUUCUAGCUUGCUAGAAGUGGAUUAGUGGCGCACGGGUGAGUAAUGCAUAGGUUAUGUGCCCUUUAGUCUGGGAUAGCCACUGGAAACGGUGAUUAAUACUGGAUACUCCCUACGGGGGAAAGUUUUUCGCUAAAGGAUCAGCCUAUGUCCUAUCAGCUUGUUGGUGAGGUAAUGGCUCACCAAGGCUAUGACGGGUAUCCGGCCUGAGAGGGUGAUCGGACACACUGGAACUGAGACACGGUCCAGACUCCUACGGGAGGCAGCAGUAGGGAAUAUUGCUCAAUGGGGGAAACCCUGAAGCAGCAACGCCGCGUGGAGGAUGAAGGUUUUAGGAUUGUAAACUCCUUUUGUUAGAGUAGAUUAUGACGGUAUCUAACGAAUAAGCACCGGCUAACUCCGUGCCAGCAGCCGCGGUAAUACGGAGGGUGCAAGCGUUACUCGGAAUCACUGGGCGUAAAGAGUGCGUAGGCGGGGUAAUAAGUCAGAUGUGAAAUCCUGUAGCUUAACUACAGAACUGCAUUUGAAACUGUUACUCUGGAGUGUGGGAGAGGUAGGUGGAAUUCUUGGUGUAGGGGUAAAAUCCGUAGAGAUCAAGAGGAAUACUCAUUGCGAAGGCGACCUGCUGGAACAUUACUGACGCUGAUGCACGAAAGCGUGGGGAGCAAACAGGAUUAGAUACCCUGGUAGUCCACGCCCUAAACGAUGGAUGCUAGUUGUUGCCUUGCUUGUCAGGGCAGUAAUGCAGCUAACGCAUUAAGCAUCCCGCCUGGGGAGUACGGUCGCAAGAUUAAAACUCAAAGGAAUAGACGGGGACCCGCACAAGCGGUGGAGCAUGUGGUUUAAUUCGAAGAUACGCGAAGAACCUUACCUAGGCUUGACAUUGA
rnacentral:rRNA from 1 species